rnacentral:rRNA from 1 species
ACACGACUACAUUAGAUACCCGGGUAGUCCCAGCCGUAAACGAUGCGCGUUAGGUGUAUCGGUGACCACGAGUCACCGAGGUGCCGAAGGGAAACCGUGAAACGUGCCGCCUGGGAAGUACGGUCGCAAGGCUGAAACUUAAAGGAAUUGGCGGGGGAGCACAACAACGGGUGGAGCUUGCGGUUUAAUUGGAUUCAACGCCGGAAAUCUUACCGGGACCGACAGCAACAUGAAGGCCAAGCUGAAGACUUUGCCGGAUUAGCUG